CAUUCACCAUUGAGCCAAACUCCCAGGCAGAUGCCAGAAGGUAUGUGGCCAUGGAGUGCUGUGUGUUCAUCCAGGGAAUGGUCAGAUUGCCUGUGUGAAACCCCUGUGUCCUGGGCCUCUGCUGAUCCCUGUUUUAAGGCAGUGGUGUCCUGGUUUUGUGUAAGUUUUCUACAGAAGGUGAGUUUCUCUGUCAGUAAGUGGGAUUCGUGCUAUCCCUUGCUUCAUACAAACAAGAUAAGCAGUGGCCUGGGAUUUCUGAACCUCCUGUAAAUGGAAACUCACGUCCCUCUCCUGCACUAAGCAACAUGGUCUGGAUGACAAGAUAUAUCACGGACAGAAUUCCCCCCUCCUUCCAUCCGAUUUUCUUGAGAUCUUACGCAGAUCUCCACCCACCGAAAGUCACUCUUGGCUGACCCUGGAGAGAUUUUAAGGGUAUUUCCCAAAUCAUUCCUUAACCUCCUAACUUGCUGAAAGGAAUACACACUUACAAAAGAGGAAUCCUGGCUAAAUUAAGCUUUCCAGAAAACACCUAGGCAGCAGAUAGCAGGUAACUGGAAUGAGCUCAUAGCCUUCACGUGCUCACCGUAGCUGUUCCUGGGAAGCAACACAGAGAGGUGACAUUUGCCUCCCCCUGCUCUGUGGCCAAGGGAUGUGUCAGCCUUGGUGUGAGUGAGUGCAACUCCAUUAAUUUCCAUUUGAAUUUGAUUAUACCAAGACUGAAGUUGGUCCAUGGUGUUUCAUUGUAUUCCUUGAUUUGGUUUUGUUUUAUUUAUGCUUCUUAUACCAUGAAGCUGACCAGUUGAACCACACAGCAUGGAGCAAUUUACGGUAAACUGUCCUUGUUCUACUCAGUAAUGGAUGGAAACAAUUCUGAAGUUAAUGGUAUUAGUGAGGAAAUACAGUCAUUCUUAACCAAUCUUGUAAUGCCCUUUUGGAAAAAUGAUACUUAAGACUGCUUUUAUAAUUCGAUUUACAAGUCACAAAUUUGUGCAAGAAACUUGACUUUAAGUCAGUCACACACCUUAUAAACUGAACUGGGCCAGUUCACAAAUGGUUUUACAGCUCUAUACACUUCCCUGGAGGAGCCAUCUCCUUCCUGCUGGCCAGACACAUUGCCUUGAAACAGCUGCCAACUUUUUAAGAGUUCCUUUUUGGCUAUAUUCUUCUUUUCAUAGCAGCAUUCAUGGCCCCAGCCCAGGUUCAUAAGGAACAAAGUGUAAAAUUAAUCAAUGGAUUGAUGCACUGUUUAGAAUAAAAACAGCCAGGUUUUGGCUAUGUUUUCUGCCCCUCCAGCCAAAAGAGUGCAUGUGUGUACAUGAAAUGUAAUUUAGUUUUUCCUUUGCUGCCUGUUGAUUUUCCUCUAAUUCAUUUUCCUUUUGCCUCUUAUUGAGUCUCCUCUUGUCUGAGCAAGCUUAACCCUGUAGUGCCUGGUCUGUGGAGCACGCAGGGACCCUGUAGGUGGGCCCUGGGAUGGUUACAGGCUUCAUUAGCCACUGGAAGGAAUAUGAUGAUAUGCAGGAAAAGGACCGUGUGAACUCAGCAAGCCACAAGUGAAGCCUCUGAGAGCACUCUGGUCUUGCUUAAAGGCUACAAAAUGUACAACUAUGAAAGAAGUACAGUCUCUACUUGGACAGGCUGAGUAAGUGGAUACUUAGACAUAAGAAUCUGGAGGGACUAAUGGAGCUGCUGAGUGAUGGAGCAGCUUCUGGAGCAGACCAAGGCACGGGAGCUUUGCCCAGUCCCUACACAGGUCACUGUGCAGGACACCAGUGUGGCAGGAGCAUGUCCCUGGCCCUGGGCCUGUCUUCAAGGACCAAAUAGUAAAAUUCCCAGGAGCAGGAUGCAAACCCAGUGAACUUCUGAAGACAUUUCCUCACACAGUGUCCUGGACCAAGAGUCACUUUGAACUUAAAAAAUUGAAGAAGUGGUUGAUGCAGCUAUUCAUCUCUCAUGUGGUCCAUGUAGCUUAUUUUCACUCCUUCUGGAUGUCCACCAGGAGAGAAUAUGGCUCAUGCCUUUUGUAAGGCUCUGAUGAUGUAAAAAAAGAUCAGUGAUGGUUUCAGCUGCACAUCCCUCUCCUGAGCAGGACUCGUGUGUUCUGGACAACCAUUGCUGUGCUCAGCAGCUGAGUCUGUGUACAGAGCUAAUCACAGAAAAAAGCUACACCAUUUCUUUGGGGAUAAUUGAAAAUGUGAGCUCUCUAUUUCCUGGCCAUCCCAAAGCAGGUGAAGAUCAGGAUAUGCACUGAGAUGCUGAAUGGACAGGCCAUGUCACCAUUAGUCAUACUUCGGAAUGAUGGUUUACUUUCAUUAUUCACUGACUGCACUGCUUCCGAUUCAGCGCUCUCCAACUCAGCAAGAUUUUCCUGUGCUAAUUCAUCUGAAUCAUUUCUAGAAGAGUUUAUAUCAAAGGACACAUUCUCAAUGUUAA